rnacentral:rRNA from 1 species
GUGGGGAAUAUUCCGCAAUGGACGAAAGUCUGACGGAGCAACGCCGCGUGAGCGAUGAAGGUUUUCGGACUGUAAAGCUCUGUUGUUUAGGACGAAAGUGCCUGUUGCAAAUAGUUACAGGUAUUGACGGUACUGAACGAGGAAGCCACGGCUAACUACGUGCCAGCAGCCGCGGUAAUACGUAGGUGGCAAGCGUUGUCCGGAAUUAUUGGGCGUAAAGAGCAUGUAGGCGGGAAUCUAAGUCUGUUGUGAAAAUGCGGGGCUCAACCCCGUAUUGCGAUGGAAACUGGGUUUCUUGAGUGCAGGAGAGGAAAGGGGAAUUCCCAGUGUAGCGGUGAAAUGCGUAGAUAUUGGGAGGAACACCAGUGGCGAAGGCGCCUUUCUGGACUGUGUCUGACGCUGAGAUGCGAAAGCCAGGGUAGCGAACGGGAUUAGAAACCCCGGUAGUCC